rnacentral:rRNA from 1 species
AUGGCUGCCAGGUGGGCCCCGCCGGCCGGCCUCCUCCUGCUCCUGCUGCUGGCGGUCCUGCUGCCGGCGCGCGCGGACAGGCCGGCGAGGACCGCCCACGCGGACGACGACCCGGAGGCCUCCUCCGCCGUCUUCCAGCUCUACGGCAACGUCUACCCCCACGGGUUGUACUACGUGGCCAUGAGCAUUGGCAACCCGGCGAAACCAUACUUCCUUGACGUCGACACCGGCAGCGACCUCACCUGGCUGCAGUGCGACGCCCCCUGCGUCAGCUGCUCCAAGGUGCCACACCCGCUCUACAGACCAACAAAGAACAAGCUGGUACCGUGUGUUGAUCAGCUGUGCACCUCUCUGCACGGCGGCCUCAGUAAAAACCACAAGUGCGACUCACCGAAGCAGCAGUGCGACUAUGAAGUUAAGUAUGCCGACCAGGGUUCAUCCCUUGGCGUGCUCGUCAACGACAGUUUUGCAGUCCGCCUUGCGAAUGCCUCCGUUGUCCGCCCCAGUCUUGCAUUCGGGUGUGGGUAUGACCAGGAGGUCGGGAGCAGCACUGAGGUUGCGCCCACUGAUGGUGUGCUUGGGCUUGGGAGUGGAUCGAUCAGCCUGCUUUCACAGUUCAAGCAGCAUGGGAUCACCAAGAACGUGGUUGGCCACUGCCUCAGCAUGAGAGGAGGGGGAUUCCUCUUCUUUGGGGAUAAUCUCGUGCCUUAUUCACGUGCAACAUGGGUACCAAUGGCUAGGAGUGCAUUCAGGAAUUAUUACUCACCUGGCUCAGCAAGCCUGUAUUUUGGUGGCCGGUCACUUGGCGUGAGACCUAUGGAAGUAGUAUUGGACAGCGGAAGCUCAUUCACCUACUUCUCUGCACAACCAUAUCAAGCGCUUGUCACUGCACUUAAGGGUGAUCUAAGCAAGACGCUGAAAGAGGUGUCUGACCCCUCUCUGCCUCUAUGCUGGAAAGGAAAGAAACCAUUCAAAUCCGUGCUUGAUGUCAAGAAGGAGUUCAAAUCAUUGGUUCUGAACUUUGCCAAUGGCAAGAAGGCGCUCAUGGAGAUCCCUCCUGAGAACUACCUCAUCGUCACUAAAUACGGGAAUGCAUGUUUGGGCAUCCUUAACGGAUCAGAGAUUGGACUCAAGGAUCUGAACAUUGUUGGAGAUAUUACAAUGCAGGACCAGAUGGUGAUAUAUGACAAUGAGAGAGGGCAGAUUGGAUGGAUCCGAGCACCCUGUGAUAGAAUCCCCAAUGAAAAUACCAUUCAUGGAUUUGAGGAAGGUUAUUGUUGGCCCCAGUUCCCCAGCAGCAUCUUUGGUAUUCAGAACGAAGAGUGUGCAGUUAACUACCGUUCGAACAAAGAGUGA